UACGUAGGGUGCAAGCGUUAAUCGGAAUUACUGGGCGUAAAGCGUGCGCAGGCGGUUAUGUAAGACAGGUGUGAAAUCCCCGGGCUUAACCUGGGAACUGCAUUUGUGACUGCAUAGCUAGAGUACGGUAGAGGGGGAUGGGAUUCCGCGUGUAGCAGUGAAAUGCGUAGAUAUGCGGAGGAACACCGAUGGCGAAGGCAAUCCCCUGGACCUGUACUGACGCUCAUGCACGAAAGCGUGGGGAGCAAAAAGG
rnacentral:rRNA from 1 species